GCUCCGCCGUGCUCCGGCGACGCCGCUUGCAGCGGUGAUUCGCCUCGGGUUGGUCGUUUUCGGCCGUUUUCGACCAAAUUCGGCCACACUUGCAUCGGUCCCUGCUAUAAAACAACCCUAGGACCCUCGGGGGGCCAAAAAAUUACGAAAAACUGAAGCUUACCGGCGGCGAUGCUCUCGGGUGCGGCGGCUCUUCGGCGAGGUUCGUGUUUUGGUGAUUUGGCUCUGAUC
rnacentral:lncRNA from 1 species